GCCGAGUUGGGUAACGCCAGCUUGUGACUCAGGUGAGGGCAAUAUGGUGGUGGGAUAGAACUAUGGCUUCAUUUGGUUGGGCUUUGAUUGCGAAAUGCAGGCCUGCCCACUCCAAGUUGAGAGUUGAACCAUGGGACCUGAGCGAAGGCUUGGGUUUCUUGGUUCCUAAAGUGGAGGGCACAGCGUGAGGCUGGAUUCACAGAGCAACGAAAACUUCCCUCUCCUGACAGUGGAGGGAUAACAGGCUGCUGCAUUCUCUACCCUGUAUGCCUAAUGAGUCUGGUUUCCUUAGACCAUCACUUUU
rfam:Phaseolus vulgaris cultivar G19833 chromosome 8, whole genome shotgun sequence.